UACAGGGGGUGCAAACGUUGCUCGGAAUUAUUGGGCGUAAAGCGCACGUGAGGACGGGUCUGUUAUGUCGGAUGUGAAAGCCCUUGGCUUAAACUGAGGAAGUCGCAUCCGAAACUGGCAGGCUAGAGUACUAAAGAGGGUCGCGGAAUUCCCGGUGUAGAGGUGAAAUUCGUAGAUAUCGGGAGGAACACCGGUGGCGAAGGCGUUCUGCUGGGCCGUUGGCUGACGCUGAGGCGCGACAGCGUGGG
rnacentral:rRNA from 1 species